UACCAGCACCCCGAGUGGUCGGGACGUUUAUUGGGCCUAAAGCAUCCGUAGCCGGUUCUACAAGUCUUCCGUUAAAUCCAACUGCUUAACAGGUGGGCUGCUGAAGAUACUAUAGAGCUAGGAGGCGGGAGAGGCAAGCGGUACUCGAUGGGUAGGGGUAAAAUCCGUUGAUCCAUUGAAGACCACCAGUGGCGAAGGCGGCUUGCCAGAACGCGCUCGACGGUGAGGGAUGAAAGCUGGGGGAGCAAACCGG
rnacentral:rRNA from 1 species